rnacentral:rRNA from 1 species
UACGUAGGGAGCAAGCGUUGUCCGGAAUCAUUGGGCGUAAAGCGCGCGUAGGUGGCCUCAUAAGUCCGCUGUGAAAGUCAAAGGCUCAACCUUUGAAAGCCGGUGGAUACUGUGAGGCUAGAGUACGGAAGAGGCGAGUGGAAUUCCUGGUGUAGCGGUGGAAUGCGCAGAUAUCAGGAGGAACACAUAAGUCGAAGGCAGCUCGCUGGGACGUUACUGACACUGAGGCGCGAAAGCGUGGGGAGCGAACAGG